rnacentral:rRNA from 1 species
GACGAACGCUGGCGGCGUGCCUAAUACAUGCAAGUAGAACGCAGUUGCGAAAGGGUGAGUAACGCGUAGUUCACUGCCUGGUAGCGGGGGAUAAGUAUUGGAAGCUAUAGCUGAUACCGCAUACUACCAGAUGGACCUGCGUUGUAUUAGUUAGUUGGUGGGGUAACGGCUCACCAAGGCAACGAUACAUAGCCGACCUGAGAGGGUGAUCGGCCACAUUGGGACUGAGACAAGGCCCAGAACCCUACGGGAGGCAGCAGUAGGGAAUCUUCCGCAAUGGGCGGAAGCCUGACCGAGCAACGCCGCGUGAGUGAAGACGGGUUUCGGGUCGUAAAGCUCUGUUGUUAAGGAAGCGGUACCUAACCAGAAAGCGACGGCUAACUACGUGCCAGCAGCCGCGGUAAUUC